AUUGAACGCUGGCGGCAGGCCUAACACAUGCAAGUCGAACGGUAACAGAAAGCAGCUUGCUGCUUUGCUGACGAGUGGCGGACGGGUGAGUAAUGUCUGGGAAACUGCCUGAUGGAGGGGGAUAACUACUGGAAACGGUAGCUAAUACCGCAUAACGUCGCAAGACCAAAGAGGGGGACCUUCGGGCCUCUUGCCAUCGGAUGUGCCCAGAUGGGAUUAGCUAGUAGGUGGGGUAAAGGCUCACCUAGGCGACGAUCCCUAGCUGGUCUGAGAGGAUGACCAACCACACUGGAACUGAGACACGGUCCAGACUCCUACGGGAGGCAGCAGUGGGGAAUAUUGCACAAUGGGCGCAAGCCUGAUGCAGCCAUGCCGCGUGUAUGAAGAAGGCCUUCGGGUUGUAAAGUACUUUCAGCGGGGAGGAAGGGAGUAAAGUUAAUACCUUUGCUCAUUGACGUUACCCGCAGAAGAAGCACCGGCUAACUCCGUG
rnacentral:rRNA from 1 species